rnacentral:lncRNA from 1 species
UUAAAAACCUAGGGUGGGAAAUGCUCAGAGUGAGAUGGUUUGACUUCAUUAGGCAUAUAACCCAUUUUUAUUAUAAAAAGAAAUGCACAUAUAAGUAAAAAGACCAUUUUAGUUAGUCCCACCAUUCGUUGGUAACCAGUUCACUAAGUGUACAUCUUUGCAGAUUUCUGUGCAUACAUACAAAUAUUUUUACAAGAAUAGGAUCAUACCAUGAAUACCACCUAUAAUGGUAUGUCUGUUGUCAAUAUAGGUGUUAUAAUUAAGACUGUGUAGCCUUCCUCUGUGGAUGUACCAAAAUUUAUUUAAUUCCCUGUCACUGGACACUUUUGUUUCACUAAUAAGUAGACACUGUGUAAGCAAUCUGUCAACAUCUCUGCACCUCUAUUUUUGGUAUAAGUAUUUCCUUAGGAUAAAAUCCCAGAAAUGGAAUUGCAAGGUAUAAAAGAUUAUUAACAUUUUUCAAGGCUUUAAGAUGCCUUUACGGUGUAUCUGUUACAUCCUGCUUCCACACAAAUUCUUCUGUAUAGCCAGUACCCAAGCUGCAGCUCUCAGCACAGGUGAAGACAGCCAGGAUGCCCCAGUCAAUGCUCUUGCCCAGUCUGUCAGCCUUCAGGUAGUUUAGGAGCUGAGGCAUGACCUGAGAAGAGGGUGACACACAGUUAGAAAGCUGCUUCACAGCAGGGAGCACGAGACCUUCUCAGCCAGGAUGAUUAUAGGGAUCUUGGUCUUUCAAUCCUCAUACUACAAAGCAGGAUUAUAGACAUUAUACAAUUAACAUGUUUAACAAUCUAAAACUUCCUUAUGACUUCAAAGCCCCUCUCACCUUCUGUUUGGUCUUUUCCAUUUGAGAAAGAAGUUCACAAGUGGCUGUUAAUGAAUUAUUUUCAUUACUAAUAUGCCACUCAAAAGGGCUGAGGCUUCUAUUUGGGCAACUUUUACUUUGUAUCAUUGCAGAUGUUGUUACUCUUGACUCAAGAAACACUAAUUACUAGUAAUGAAUACAGAAAGGACAUCUAUCAAUGUAGUUAUAGAGACCAGAGAGGAAUCUUAGAAGUAGUCUAACUCAAAGAGUGAAUAGGCAGAAUAGCCACCUGAUAUGGAAUCACUUUAUACAAAUCCUGUCACCUCAAUUUGGACAUUGAGAGCUUUGGCACUAAGAACCAAGCAGAGUUUUGUGUAUGGUCCUCAUAAUUCCUUUUUUACCCAAAGAAACAAACCAAUAUUAGCUAUGACUUUGGUAAGGUUAGUGAAUCCAUAGCUCAAGAGCAUUUCCACCCUACCCAAAUGGAUUUUGAUGCUAACAAAUCCUUUUGGGCAGGGAAGGACAUUUAUCUUUAAUGCUUAUAUCCAUUUUUUCUAACAAAUCCACAAACCAAGAUUAAACAGUAAAGACUCCUCUCAUAAAGUAUAUAGUCAAAGACUUUAAUUACUAGAACAAGAAAGGAAGGUAUACAUUAUUUAAAAUAACAAAAGUUAACAGAGGCACUAAUAAUAAUGACAUAACCACACUGGAGGUGGAGAGCAGUGUAGAUAUCCUCAUUGUCACAGAAGUCAGUCAAUAGACCGUGUCUGAAAACUAGGAAACAGAAAAAAACAAGACAGUUCCUUCCAGGGAACUAGCCCCAAGGUGAGGCAGGAAACUGAUGAUUUUCAUUAUAGGGUACCCUUCCAUACUGCCAUGUUGACCCAUGUGCACAAAUUACCUUGGUGAAGUUUUUAAUGUUUAAAAACAAUCAUGGUGAUUACACACUAAAUGGUCCUUAUUUAAGGUCAUACCUGGAAUUCCAAUAUUCUCUUGGCACCACAGGGGCAAUCUGGAAUAUCCUUUUCUUGAGGAAUAUUUUCACCAGAAAUCCAGAUGGGGGCAAUACCUCUGCCAUAUCUAAGAAUCUAAAAUCAAUGAAGAUCAUGUUCAAAUAAUCAAUACCUUACCUAUAAGUUGCCAAUGGUAACAUGCUAUCUACUCCAUGAAUGUUCCUACUCUUGAUGUAGCACUGACCCAAAAGGCAUGUCACAGUUCCCCCAUCAGACCUGGCUGUACCAGUGUGCCACUAAUGCCUUCUCAAUCACCUCAAAGUGAUUAUUUCAGUUUAUCUGACUCAGAGGGCAUCAAAAUAUAUCUCCCAGAUGAUGCUUUUACUACCUAAUGUUGGCAACUUAAUCCUAUGAAUAUAUUGUGAAGGGACUAAGAAUGAGCCUCUGCUCUAAUUGCAGAAUUCUGCCCAGAGUCUGUGCCUACCUUCAUAGUUAAAAAAUUUUAGGAGGGACAAAUACCAAGUGAAACAUAGUGUUUUGAAAACUACUACAAACAUAAGUAAAUUUCACUGUAAUAAGCUUCCUACAGCAACUGAGUGGUUUUCUGUAUUUUGUCUAAAAGCAUAUGCAUUGCUAAAAACUGCCUUAGUGUUUAAGACCUAGAUCUAUUCUUCCUGUGUAUUUAUUUGAACCAGUGACUGGUUUAUGGGAGUUUAGUUUUCUUUCGUGAUUUACGUUUAUGGUAGGGGAGGUUAAGGAGAAAAAUGUUAACAUGUCACAUUUUACAAGCCAAAGUUACCUGUUGGAAAUGGGCAAAAAUAACCUUUUUUCUUUCUGGCGGGGGGGCCAAUGGUGCCUAAACCUCAUGUACCUUAGGCAACAUCUCAUUCAUCUCCCAUCCCUGAUGCUUGCUUUAGAAAAUGAACCCUGUAUGAUAAACAGUAUAACCUUUAGUCUUUUAGUAACUAUUAAAUGGAUCAGCACUGCAAAAC